UUGAACGCUGGCGGCAUGCCUUACACCUGCAAGUCGAACGGCAGCACGGGUGCUUGCACCUGGUGGCGAGUGGCGAACGGGUGAGUAAUACAUCGGAACAUGUCCUGUAGUGGGGGAUAGCCCGGCGAAAGCCGGAUUAAUACCGCAUACGAUCCACGGAUGAAAGCGGGGGACCUUCGGGCCUCGCGCUAUAGGGUUGGCCGAUGGCUGAUUAGCUAGUUGGUGGGGUAAAGGCCUACCAAGGCGACGAUCAGUAGCUGGUCUGAGAGGACGACCAGCCACACUGGGACUGAGACACGGCCCAGACUCCUACGGGAGGCAGCAGUGGGGAAUUUUGGACAAUGGGCGAAAGCCUGAUCCAGCAAUGCCGCGUGUGUGAAGAAGGCCUUCGGGUUGUAAAGCACUUUUGUCCGGAAAGAAAUCCUUGGCUCUAAUACAGUCGGGGGAUGACGGUACCGGAAGAAUAAGCACCGGCUAACUACGUG
rnacentral:rRNA from 1 species